AGAGUUUGAUCCUGGCUCAGAACGAACGCUGGCGGCGUGCCUAACACAUGCAAGUCCAACGUGAAAGGGGAGCAAUCCCCCGGUAGGGUGGCAAACGGGUGAGUAAUACAUGGGUGAUCUACCUUAGGGAUGGGGAUAUCCUUCCGAAAGGAGGGGCAAUACCGAAUAUUGUCCGGAGCCAUGAAGGGUUCCGGGGAAAGGGAGGCCUCUGAUACAAGCUUUCGCCUUAAGAUGAGCCCAUGGCCCAUCAGCUAGUUGGUAGGGUAAAGGCCUACCAAGGCUACGACGGGUCGCUGGUCUGAGAGGACGACCAGCCACACUGGCACUGAGAUACGGGCCAGACUCCUACGGGAGGCAGCAGUGAGGAAUAUUGCGCAAUGGGGGAAACCCUGACGCAGCAACGCCGCGUGUGGGAAGAAGGCCUUCGGGUCGUAAACCACUUUUGCACGGGACGAAAAAGGGAUAUCGAACAAAUAUCCCCGAUGACGGUACCGUGAGAAUAAGCCACGGCUAACUCUGUGCCAGCAGCCGCGGUAAGACAGAGGUGGCAAGCGUUGUUCGGAAUUACUGGGCGUAAAGAGUCUGUAGGUGGUUUGUCAAGUCUUUGGUGAAAGGCCGUAGCUUAACUAUGGGAAUGCCAAAGAGACUGGCAGGCUGGAGGCUGGGAGAGGGAAGCGGAAUUUCUGGUGUAGCGGUGAAAUGCGUAGAUAUCAGAAGGAAGGCCGGUGGCGAAGGCGGCUUCCU
rnacentral:rRNA from 1 species